AUACGGAGGGGGCUAGCGUUGUUCGGAAUUACUGGGCGUAAAGCGUACGUAGGCGGACUGAUCAGUUGGGGGUGAAAUCCCAGGGCUUAACCCUGGAACUGCCUUCAAUACUGUCAGUCUUGAGAUUGGAAGAGGUGAGUGGAAUUCCUAGUGUAGAGGUGAAAUUCAUAGAUAUUAGGAGGAACACCAGUGGCGAAGGCGGCUCACUGGUCCAAUACUGACGCUGAGGUACGAAAGCGUGGGGAGCAAACAGAAUUAGAAACCCCAGUAGUCC
rnacentral:rRNA from 1 species